CCUACGGGAGGCAGCAGUAAGGAAUAUUGGUCAAUGGGCGAAAGUCUGAACCAGCCAUGCCGCGUGAAGGAUGAAGGCCCUCUGGGUUGUAAACUUCUUUUACAGGGGACGAAAAAAGGGAAUUCUUUCUCACUUGACGGUACCCUGGGAAUAAGCACCGGCUAACUCCGUGCCAGCAGCCGCGGUAAUACGGAGGGUGCAAGCGUUAUCCGGAUUCACUGGGUUUAAAGGGUGCGUAGGUGGGUCUGUAAGUCAGCGGUGAAAUCUCCGGGCUUAACCCGGAAACUGCCAUUGAUACUAUAGAUCUUGAAUUGUCUGGAGGUAAGCGGAAUAUGUCAUGUAGCGGUGAAAUGCUUAGAUAUGACAUAGAACACCAAUUGCGAAGGCAGCUUACUACGGAUUGAUUGACACUGAGGCACGAAAGCGUGGGGAUCAAACAGGAUUAGAUACCCUGGUAGUCCACGCCCUAAACGAUGGAUACUCGACAUUUGUGAUAUACUAUAAGUGUUNUGAGNGAAGACAUAAGUAUCCACCGUCGGAAGGUACGACCGACGAAGGUUAAGGUAACGUACGUUAAAGAAAGUUAGUUACGGCGUGAGACGNGCCGACGGACGACGACGAGGGAGGAGG
rnacentral:rRNA from 1 species